AGGGGGAUAACUACUGGAAACGGUAGCUAAUACCGCAUAACGUCUUCGGACCAAAGUGGGGGACCUUCGGGCCUCACGCCAUCAGAUGUGCCCAGAUGGGAUUAGCUAGUAGGUGGGGUAAUGGCUCACCUAGGCGACGAUCCCUAGCUGGUCUGAGAGGAUGACCAGCCACACUGGAACUGAGACACGGUCCAGACUCCUACGGGAGGCAGCAGUGGGGAAUAUUGCACAAUGGGCGCAAGCCUGAUGCAGCCAUGCCGCGUGUGUGAAGAAGGCCUUCGGGUUGUAAAGCACUUUCAGCGAGGAGGAAGGGUAGUGUGUUAAUAGCACAUUNCAUUGACGUUACUCGCAGAAGAAGCACCGGCUAACUCCGUGCCAGCAGCCGCGGUAAUACGGAGGGUGCAAGCGUUAAUCGGAAUUACUGGGCGUAAAGCGCACGCAGGCGGUUUGUUAAGUCAGAUGUGAAAUCCCCGCGCUUAACGUGGGAACUGCAUUUGAAACUGGCAAGCUAGAGUCUUGUAGAGGGGGGUAGAAUUCCAGGUGUAGCGGUGAAAUGCGUA
rnacentral:rRNA from 1 species